rnacentral:lncRNA from 1 species
AUUAUUUUUAUGUUGGAUUCCAGCAAAGACUAUUUUUUUAAGCAAGGUCAUUUGGUGUUGAGUCCAAAUAGUUUACAAACAUUUGAAUAAACUAUUGCAUAAAAGAAAACAUGUACAUACUUCAAUCCACUAUUGAUAAAUUCCCAUUACAUACCAAUCAUGUCAAAUAUUAGACAAAAGAAAUAAGGAAAAUAAUAUUGCAAAGUACUUUGAGGGAUCAAUUCCAUUAGCACCAUGACCCCUUUUGAUAUUCCUUGCAAAGCUUAAUAUCUUGUGUUUCCAUCAUACAAUUGCAAACAACUCUCCUUCAGAACCCCUUCUCUCCCCAGUUUUAUGAACCAUCUUGAUAGUGUAAUUCAUAUGCUAUAUGAUGUUUUUUCUGCAUAACAUUAAAAAAGAAUUAUAUAUUAACUAAACUUUAAAUAUUCUCAGGUUAUCAAAAAUCAUAAAGCCCAAAUAUUGAUUCUCUAACACUACUAUAGUCCAUACUUUAUAAGAUUGAAUAAGAUUUUGCUUAUAAAAACAGAAACCUAAUACUUGGUUUUAU